rnacentral:rRNA from 1 species
CACACGACUCUCGGCAACGGAUAUCUCGGCUCUCGCAUCGAUGAAGAACGUAGCGAAAUGCGAUACCUGGUGUGAAUUGCAGAAUCCCGCGAACCAUCGAGUCUUUGAACGCAAGUUGCGCCCGAGGCCGCUCGGCCGAGGGCACGCCUGCCUGGGCGUCACGC